rnacentral:rRNA from 1 species
UACGAAGGGGGCUAGCGUUGUUCGGAAUUACUGGGCGUAAAGCGCACGCAGGCGGCGUGUUUAGUUAGAAGUGAAAGCCCUGGGCUCAACCCGGGAAUUGCUUUUAAUACUGGCACGCUAGAAAUCAGGAGAGGGUAGCGGAAUUCCCAGUGUAGAGGUGAAAUUCGUAGAUAUUGGGAAGAACACCGGUGGCGAAGGCGGCUAACCUGGCCUGACAUUGACGCUCAUGUGCGAAAGCGUGGGGAGCAAACAGG